UACAGAGGUCCCGAGCGUUGUUCGGAUUCACUGGGCGUAAAGGGUGCGUAGGUGGUCGGGUAAGUCUGAUGUGAAAUCUCACAGCUUAACUGUGAAACUGCAUUGGAUACUAUUCGGCUUGAGGUCUGGAGGGGGGACUGGAAGUUCUCGGUGUAGGCAGUGAAAUGCGUAGAUAUCGAGAGGAACACCAGUGGCGAAGGCGAGUCCCUGGACGAGGUCCUGACGCUGAGGCACGAAAGCUAGGGGAGCAAACAGG
rnacentral:rRNA from 1 species